rnacentral:rRNA from 1 species
GGGAGUGAAAUAGAACCUGAAACCCUGCACUUACAAGCUGUGGAAGCACAUUUCUUGUGUGACCGCGUACUUUUUGUAGAACGGGCCAACGAGUUACGUUAAGUAGCAAGGUUAAGCACUUAAGGUGCGGAGCCGUAGCGAAAGCGAGUUUUAACUGAGCGUUCAGUUACUUGACGUAGACCCGAAACCGGGCGACCUACCCAUGCGCAGGAUGAAGCGAAAGUAAAAUUUCGUGGAGGUCCGAACCCACGAGCGUUGAAAAGCUCGGGGAUGACUUGUGGGUAGCGGUGAAAUUCCAAUCGAGCCCGGAGAUAGCUGGUUCUCCCCGAAAUAGCUUUAGGGCUAGCCUCAAGGUGAGAGAUACGGAGGUAGAGCACUGAAUGUCCUAGGGGGUAUUGCACCUACCGAAGACUAUCAAACUCCGAAUGCCGUCAUCUUAUACUUGGGAGUCAGACUGUGGGUGAUAAGAUUCAUAGUCGAAAGGGCAACAGCCCAGAUCGUCAGCUAAGGUCCCUAAAUGUAAGUUAAGUGGUAAAGGAUGUGGGAUUGCACAGACAACCAGGAUGUUGGCUUAGAAGCAGCCACUCAUUCAAAGAGUGCGUAAUAGCUCACUGGUCGAGUGAUCCUGCGCCGAAGAUUUCCGGGGCUAAAACUUACUACCGAAGCUACGGCAUCAGUAAUGAUGGGUAGGGGAGCUUCCCAUACGGGUUGAAGCAUGACCGUAAGGACAUGUGGACAGUAUGGGAGUGAGAAUGUUGGCAUGAGUAGCGAGAUGUGGGUGAGAAUCCCACAGGCCGUAAACCCAAGGU